rnacentral:hammerhead_ribozyme from 1 species
GCACUGCUGAAGAGUCCCAUAAUAAGACGAAACGGUAGUCCAGUGC